rnacentral:miRNA from 1 species
GAGGUGAGAGGAUCCCUUGAGUCAGGAGUUCGAGGCUGCAGUGAGCUAUGAUUGUACCACUGCACUCCAGCCUGAGUGACAGAG